CUUUGUUUCCGCCUCAUUUUUGCUAUGCGAGUGCUCUAACUUGCUAACUUGUAUUUCUAGAAUCAUUGCUGUCACUUCACUCAAUUCGAAAGAGAAAGCGCCGGAUGGACGAGAGGAGUUUGGUUUUGAAGUACAUAUUACUUCCAAAUGGAGGUAAAAUCCCAACUAUUGGGCUUGGAACUUUCAUUGAUAACCAGUACGUUUCGGAAGGGUCAGAUGGAAAGUUAGCAAUUGCAAUUAGGAACGCUAUCAGUCUCGGAUACCGUCACAUCGAUACAGCUUGGAUGUAUAACACUGAAGCUGAUGUUGGUUGCGCUGUCAAAGAAAAAAUUCAAGAUGGAACUGUUGCUCGUGAAGAUUUGUUUAUUGUUACCAAAUUAUGGAGAAACUUCCUCAGCCAUGAUCAAGUCAGCAAAGCUUUUCACAGGUCUCUAAAAGAACUAGAUAUGACCUAUGUUGACCUUUACUUAAUUCACAGCUCAACAGGACUCAAGUUUAAUAGCAACCCCAGACAGCAUUACCCAGAUGUUGAUGACUAUACUCCAUAUUUUGAUGAUGUUGACUAUGUGGACACAUGGAAGGAGAUGGAGGAACUUGUGGAUGCUGGUCUAGUGAAAUCAAUUGGUGUUUCAAACUUCAAUAUCCAGCAAAUUGAGCGAAUUCUAGCUGUUGCACGCCAUCCACUGUCAGUCGUACAGGUAGAAAUGCAUCCUUACCUGUCACAAUCAGAUCUUCUGCAGUUCUGCAGAAAGAGGAAUAUUGUAGUCACUGCCUAUUCACCAUUGGCCUGGGGAGGUCAACCACUCCCAAAGCCUCCGGCGCCAGUACCUCUAAAUGAAAAUCCUACUGUCAAGAGUAUUGCCUUGAAACACAAAAAGAGUCCAUUCCAAGUAGUACUUCGCUAUGAACUCCAGUUAGGCGUGGCUGUUAUACCAAAGAGUACUAACCAAAAACACAUCCAUGAGAACUUUCAUGUCUUUGACUUCAAGUUGUCCAAAGAGGAAAUGCGGGAUAUAGCAUCGUUGAACAUCAACUACCGUCUUCUUGACCAACACAAGUUCAAAGGUCAUGUACACUUUCCUUUCUGUGAUGAAGAAGUAUGAUGGACUGAGGCAAUUUAACAGAAUGACACUCAUCUCCGCAUGCCAAUAUAGAAUGUGCGUAUAUUCCUUUGACCCUAUCUGUGGCAUUGAAAAUCUGAUACUAGUUGUAUAAAUUCUAGUAGAAACCAGUUCAACUGGUCUAACUGGUUUUCAACUGGUACAACUGGUCUCCCAAACUGGUUUAACUGGUCCAACUGGUCUAUCGAACUGUUUGAAGUUGUAGCUCCAAGAUUCAGAUCACCAGAAGUGUGUUUCCGAUGUGUGUUUGUCCGAUCGAUAGUAUUUAGUAUAGGCAUAUAGAGACGCGUGUAACAUCCCCUAUUAACUUCGAUUAUACAGUAUAAUAUAUACGUCUAUUUGUUUUUACUUAUAAGUCAAAGAACUCUUGGAGGGCUAACAGGAUGUGAUAAUUGUUAAGCCUAAUUUCUGUGGUGUGUUGGUGACCUUCCACUCCUUGGCUGAAGCUAUAUAUCUUGGAAUUAUGCGAUUACCAAAUCAAGGGAAUGGCAUUGACCAUAAUAAUAUCGACAGUUAACAGAUAUAGCAUGCAUUAUAUAAAAACAAUAGAAAUAUUGAUAAUGAUACUGUAUCAAAUCAAUAUCAAUGUAACAAAAACAGUGACAAUUCCCACAAGUCCACCGGUUUCAAAAGCAGAAGAAUCGUAAAUUUUGUGUGUCAGCACCAUUACUGACAUGUAAAAAAUACAUUAUUCUUUAAUUUAUCCCACAUAACUCUCAUGACGUUUUUUGACAGUUCUUUAACUUUUUGUAGUCUUCAUAUUUAUUUUAUUGUUUCUAGUAAGUGCAGCAAAUUACGGUACAUUUUUCUUUGGAGGCAUUUCAAAAUUAAUGAUAGUAAGGCUUAACCUUCUUUAUGUAAUCCUUAGUUAGGCCGAAUCUUGAAUUUUGGGAUAAUUUCGAUUCUGUUUCUUUAGUAAAUUUACUUUUGUUGGUAAAGAUUUCCUAUUUUGGUUGCUGACUGCCGUAAACUUUUAGAUUAAAAUUUUUACUUUUUUUUUUAUCCUCAUUGUGUUUCCUUUUUUUGUUCGUUUUGUCAAAUGAUUUUUGGAUGUUCAAACUUAAUCGUUAUCAGGCUGACACAGACUGUGUUUAGGAAGUGUUUAGGAACGUAAAGAGUAUUCAGUAGGCUACCGUAACACGUCAGGUUGGGCAAAAACAUUACUCCUAUGAAAUAAUUAUUCUAAUGCUUAUUUAAGUAAUAUUCUUCGUAGGUGAUAGUAUAUAAUCUUUACCAUUCCUCACGUUGUGUCCAUUGUUUGUAGAUUUGAUUUAUUGUUACGCAUGUUUUUCACGAUUGGUAAAUAUAGUUAUCGAUUCAUUAAAGUUGUAGUUGCAGAACACAUCAGUCACGGGGUUGGCGCCAACGAGGAAAAGCGGUUGGAACAAUUCGUAUUUUCUACAUGUAGAUUCUAAAUCGAUUAAAUAAGCCUUACAUUGUCAUAUUUUUCGCCUCCUGAACCACAUUUUACAAGAUUUUGAGCGACGCCGCCAAUUUUCUCUCGUCGGGAACAUCUCCCUAACCUCCCACCCCUAGUCGGGCAAAUCCUGAUCCCGGUGCCGCUUCAGUCACUAUGACCCACAGUAUGUAGGCCUAUGGGAAAGGUGUGGGGUUUGUUGCUGUAGUAGGCAGCCUACCUUAUAGUUGAAGUGACUUAAUUCAAAUGUGUCACUCGAGAAAGGGAAUGAAAGCUAUUUCCCAACUGCACAUAUGUUAUGGUAUUAAUUUUAAUAGCAGAAUAGGUACACUGCUGAUGAUUUAUUAUGAAUUUAUUACGUGCUAGCUUUUUUGUCUCCGUACUAUGUACAGCAAUAACUUUGCAGGACUUAAAAAGGUUUACCUAAGCGCUAUUGUGACGCCACGCACAGUUGCAUAAUUUUAUGUAUAUAAUAGUAGAUAAAAUCAUUUUAUUGACUAACUUGAAUUAUUUAAUAUUCAGCUCUUCUGUUCUGGCUUCAUCAGGUGUAAUGAUUCACAAUGUAGACCCAGCAUUUUAGUUAUAUGUAUUAGAUGCGGGAACAUUUUUUGUACAGUACCACAAAAUUCCGACUUUUAAAUAAAUUUUUAAAAAGCACCCAAUCCAUUUGUAAGUGUGUCUGUUUUCCUAAAAAGAUACAUUUUAAUCAAUUAUAGUACAAUAAAGAAAGAGAGAAAACA
rnacentral:misc_RNA from 1 species